rnacentral:rRNA from 1 species
CCUACGGGGGGCAGCAGUCGAGAAUCAUUCACAAUGGGGGAAACCCUGAUGGUGCGACGCCGCGUGGGGGAAUGAAGGUCUUCGGAUUGUAAACCCCUGUCAUGUGGGAGCAAAUUAAAAAGAUCGUACCACAAGAGGAAGAGACGGCUAACUCUGUGCCAGCGGCCGCGGUAAUACAGAGGUCUCAAGCGUUGUUCGGAAUCACUGGGCGUAAAGCGUGCGUAGGCUGUUUCGUAAGUCGUGUGUGAAAGGCGCGGGCUCAACCCGCGGACGGCACAUGAUACUGCGAGACUAGAGUAAGGGAGGGGGAACCGGAAUGCUCGGUGUAGCAGUGAAAUGCGUAGAUAUCGAGAGGAACACUCGUGGCGAAGGCGGGUUCCUGGACAUUAACUGACGCUGAGGCACGAAGGCCAGGGGAGCGAAAGGGAUUAGAUUCCCGGGUAGUC